rnacentral:rRNA from 1 species
CACACGACUCUCGGCAAUGGAUAUCUCGGCUCUCGCAUCGAUGAAGAACGUAGCAAAAUGCGAUACCUGGUGUGAAUUGUAGAAUCCCGCGAACCAUCGAGUUUUUGAACGCAAGUUGCGCCCGAGGCCUUCUGGCUGAGGUCACGC